CCCGCACAAGCGGUGGAGCAUGUGGUUUAAUUCGAUGCAACGCGAAGAACCUUACCUGGUCUUGACAUCCACAGAACUUUCCAGAGAUGGAUUGGUGCCUUCGGGAACUGUGAGACAGGUGCUGCAUGGCUGUCGUCAGCUCGUGUUGUGAAAUGUUGGGUUAAGUCCCGCAACGAGCGCAACCCUUAUCCUUUGUUGCCAGCGGUCCGGCCGGGAACUCAAAGGAGACUGCCAGUGAUAAACUGGAGGAAGGUGGGGAUGACGUCAAGUCAUCAUGGCCCUUACACCUUGGGCUACACACGUGUUACAAUGGCCGGUACAAUAAGUCGCAAUACCGUAAGGUGGAGCUAAUCUAUGAAAACCGGUCCCAGUUCGGAUUGGGGGCUGAAACUCGCCCCCAUGAAGUCGGAAUCGCUAGUAACCGUGAAUCAGCACGUCACGGUGAAUACGUUCCCGGGUCUU
rnacentral:rRNA from 1 species